rnacentral:tRNA from 1 species
CUCUUGUUAGUAUAAGGUUAGUACACCUGGUUUCGACCCAGGAGGGAAGACAAGAGU